UACGUAGGGGGCUAGCGUUGUCCGGAUUUAUUGGGCGUAAAGAGCGUGUAGGCGGCCAGGUAGGUCCGUUGUGAAAACUCGAGGCUCAACCUCGAGACGUCGGCGGAAACCCUCUGGCUAGAGUCCGGAAGAGGAGAGUGGAAUUCCUGGUGUAGCGGUGAAAUGCGCAGAUAUCAGGAAGAACACCCGUGGCGAAGGCGGCUCUCUGGGACGGUACUGACGCUGAGACGCGAAAGCGUGGGAGCAAACAGG
rnacentral:rRNA from 1 species